GAUGAACGCUGGCGGCGUGCCUAAUACAUGCAAGUCGAGCGAACAGGCGAGGAGCUUGCUCCUCUGACGUUAGCGGCGGACGGGUGAGCAACACGUGGAUAACCUACCUAUAAGACUGGGAUAACUUCGGGAAACCGGAGCUAAUACCGGAUAAUAUAUUGAACCGCAUGGCUCAAUAGUGAAAGACGGUUUUGCUGUCACUUAUAGAUGGAUCCGCGCCGCAUUAGCUAGUUGGUAAGGUAACGGCUUACCAAGGCAACGAUGCGUAGCCGACCUGAGAGGGUGAUCGGCCACACUGGAACUGAGACACGGUCCAGACUCCUACGGGAGGCAGCAGUAGGGAAUCUUCCGCAAUGGGCGAAAGCCUGACGGAGCAACGCCGCGUGAGUGAUGAAGGUCUUCGGAUCGUAAAACUCUGUUAUUAGGGAAGAACAAAUGUGUAAGUAACUAUGCACGUCUUGACGGUACCUAAUCAGAAAGCCACGGCUAACUACGUG
rnacentral:rRNA from 1 species